UCAGUGAAUCAUCGAGUCUUUGAACGCACAUUGCGCCCUCUGGUAUUCCGGAGGGCAUGCCUGUCCGAGCGUCAUUGCUGCCCUCAAGCACGGCU
rnacentral:rRNA from 1 species